AUUGAACGCUGGCGGCAGGCUUAACACAUGCAAGUCGAGCGAGCGGCGGACGGGUGAGUAAUGUCUGGGAAACUGCCUGAUGGAGGGGGAUAACUACUGGAAACGGUAGCUAAUACCGCAUACCAUCAGAUUUGCCCAGAUGGGAUUAGCUAGUAGGUGGGGUAAUGGCUCACCUAGGCGACGAUCCCUAGCUGGUCUGAGAGGAUGACCAGCAACACUGGAACUGAGAAACGGUCCAGACUCCUACGGGAGGAAGUAGGGGGGAAUAUGGCACAAUGGGGGAAAGCCUGAUGAAGCCAUGCCGCGUGUGUGAAGAAGGCCUUCGGGUUGUAAAGCACUUUCAGCGAGGAGGCGUUACUCGCAGAAGAAGCACCGGCUAACUCCGUGCCAGCAGCCGCGGUAAUAC
rnacentral:rRNA from 1 species